rnacentral:rRNA from 1 species
AUGGGAAAUUCAGAGUUUGAGCAAGCGAAUGUAUCUCCUGACCUGAAACAGCUCCUCCCAUUUCUUUGGCUUCUCCUUAAUCUUAUUACGGCACACUUGCAUGUCGACUGUGCUCAGCCACCAGCAAUAACUUGGCAGAGGAAAUUCGAUGAUGAAGGCAAGAAGGUUGCUAUGCUUAGCAUGACCACUAAUAUCUUCAUAGUUAUACCAUUGAUUUUUAAAAUGCUUCGAUUACACGUCGAAGGAAUCGCGAAAAACCAAGUUGUCAUCUAUGAUCCACUCAGGAAAUGGAUGGACAACUGCUACCGCGGGGUACCCCUUGGCGGACUAGGUUCAGGAAGCAUAGGGAGAAGCUACCGAGGGUACUUUCAGCAGUUUCAAAUAUUCCCGAGGAUCUAUGAAGAGAAGCCUGUCCUUGCCAACCAGUUCUCAGCAUUCGUCUCGCAUCCUGGCGGGAAGAGCUACUCGACGAUGUUGAAACUGGUCAGGAGACUUUCUGCAUGCGACACAAUGGGUUCUGCAACAACAAGUUUUGAUUAUAUUGAUACCUAA